GAAAACAAAGAAACCAACUCGAACAUGAUUUUAAAGAAGAGGGAGGCGUGGACUAAUAUUUGCAAGCAAUACAACGCUGUUGCUGCUAGUGGAUGCCGAAGUUGGGAACAACUUCGGCAUCUAUAUGAAAACUUAAAGCAGCGGUCCAAAAAGAAUAUUGCUAAUGCUAAUCGACAACAGUUUUAUGAAAAAACCAGAGUUGAUAUGAAAGAGGUGCAAAGUAAAGCAUCACUUGAUAAGAAAGAGAUAAAUCGUACUGGUGGUGGAUCCUAUAGGAGCACUAUUA